rnacentral:rRNA from 1 species
AUGCACGCGCGUUACAAUGAGACUAUCACAUAGUUCUCCUAGUUAGAGAUUACUUAGGAAAUCUCAGAAACAGUCUCGUGAUGGGGAUUGUGUUUUGCAAUUAUCGCACAUGAACGAGGAAUGCCUUGUAGGGGUGUAUCAUUAAUGCACCCCGAAUUAGU